rnacentral:rRNA from 1 species
UACAGAGGUCUCAACCGUUGUUCGGAUUCAUUGGGCGUAAAGGGUGCGUAGGCGGCGGGGUAAGUCAGGUGUGAAAUCUCGGGGCUCAACCCCGAAACUGCACUUGAUACUGCCUUGCUUGAGGACUGGAGAGGAGACUGGAAUUUACGGUGUAGCAGUGAAAUGCGUAGAUAUCGUAAGGAAGACCAGUGGCGAAGGCGAGUCUCUGGACAGUUACUGACGCUGAGGCACGAAGGCCAGGGGAGCAAACGGGG